rnacentral:lncRNA from 1 species
GUAAAAUAUUUCUAGAACCUAUUAUUUAUGCACUAGUCAAAAAAUUAUUUAUAGUAACUUGACAACCCCAAGGAUCUAGUCUAACAAGUACCAGAGCUUUUAAGAAUUACAAUAGGAUAAAAUUUUUACAAAGGACACAACUCCUACCAUCCGUAAAGAAGAGUCUAGGCUGCUGGAGGAAUUCUUCGUCUUCACCUAAUGAAACGUCACCAAUCCUGCAUCCAUACCAUGUCAAAAAUACAUGGAAAGAGUAGUAUCAGUAAAACCACACGUACUAUUAUGUAUCAUUUGUCAACCCGACAUCCACCUCGUAAGAUGUGAACAGAAAAAUAAAAGAUAAUGUCUGCACCCCUCGCUUCUACACCUUUAACCUUUACAUAGAAUACCUUCCAAUUACCAUUUAUCUCCUUCCUAUGAGGUUACAACCUAAUCACUUUAUAUCCUACAAGUACCACUAACAAAUUUAGGGUUUCAAUAGAUCAUAGCUUAAAUAUACUAGCCACAUUGUAUACUAAAAUUAUCAUUACCACAGUAAGGUUUCAAAAGAUCAUAGCUUAAACAUACUAACCACAUUAUAUACCACAAGUAACACUACCACACUUAAGGUUACUAGAGAUCAUAGCUUAAACAUAUGAACCACAAUAUAUACUGCAAAUAACAUUACCACACUUAUUAUUCCAAUAAAUCAUAGCUUAACCUCAACAUAUAUAUACAAUACACACUGAGAAAAAUUGAACACAAUAUAUUUCACCGUACACAUUUUAUAACAAGUAGUGGACCCUCUCAUGGGACCCAAAGUCAAACUAUUAACAUCGCGGAAUGUGACAAUCUGAUCCAAGUGUUAUAUCGAAACGUGGAAAUCGAUCUAAGUUAGAGUUCCGGAACAUGGUACCCAAUCCUAGUUAGCAUGCCAGAACGUGGCAAUCAAAGUUAGAGUGUCGGAACUUAGCAUACGAUCCCAAUCACACAUCACAAUAACACCAAGAUCACACAUUCAUGUCAUGAUUUCAUCAUAUUGAUAUUCACAUAUCUCUUUUCAACAUCUAAGACCAUUAUUGCAACAUGCAUAUGAAUACAAGUAUCACUACGAAGAAAAACACGACUAUAUCACACCAUCAUAGAAUCACAGUCAUCACCUAGUCAUAUACUCAAUUACAUAUUGGUUCUCUCGAUUUCUUCUUGUGGAGUUACAUAAGUACAAAUGCUAGUUCUUCAUAAAGUUUAAUUUCUAAAUUUAUUUACCCUUACUAGAUUAUUUUGUCACCAUUAUACCAUAACCUAAGAAAAAACCCAUUCACGAACAAAAAAUAAGAAGCUCGGUCGAUAUACCGUCUCAACUCAACACUAACCCCAUAAACAUUGAAUUAUAGCAACUUUUCAUGGAAUUUACUCGGUGCACGAAGGUCUAACAUACUUUAUACUAUUAAAUUCAUAUAUUACAUGGUAAACAUGGAUUUAUAACUACUCAACAUAAACCUAACCUACCUGCGCGCCAAGCAAUUUGUACGGGGUUUAGAUAUUGCUUCCAGCUUUUUCAAAUGCGCUACGGUGAAAUGUGACCAAAAUCUCGUAAGAUUCUGCCAUCCUUAUAGUUGAAAGUUCCCUCUCCUACUUUUCCAUACUUGAAAUAACUUUUAUGGGAUUUCUAGGUUAAUUAUGACCUAUUUGGGUAUUUUACAAGGGUGAAAAAAUAAGAAUUUCACUUAAAUAAGGUUCUGCCUUGCUGAUCUGGCUGCAGCGUUUUAUUCUUCUCAAAUAAUGACAGUUUGGGUCAUUAAAAUAGAUAUCAAUUCACCUUCCGUUAGUCCUUGAACUACUACGACUCAGUUCAUAUACGCCCAUACCACAAAACGUUUACUAGUAGCACAACUCUUACACGGAACGACAAAAGUUCGUGACUUUUAGCAAGUAUGAAACUUUAUACGGGUAAAUACGCUAAACAGAGGGUCAAAAUGUUGUACAUUGAAAGGGAUUUGAGACUUUUUGUUAGGGUAAUCUAAAAGGCACCACGAAAAGAUCUGUUGAAUUUAAGCCAUCAUUUCCCUAAAUUUCUGCCUGCUGGAGCAGCAGGCUUGCCGCUGGAGCAAGAGAUCAGGCAACAUAAAAGGAAGAAAACAAAAGGAACAAAAAGUCUCAUUUCCCUCAUACUCCUCCACCACUUUCUAUUUUCUCAUUCCCCUCCUCCAAUACAUUCCUUGCUUUCAAAACAUUACUCACUAUAGGUUACAUGCUAUAAUCAUAUUGACUAGGAGAGGUCUUUGGGUAGUUAUUUUUGAAAUUGAAUUAGUUUGUUAAAUGAAUUAGAAAAAUAUAGAAUUUUUACUUUCCUCACGUCUCCAACGUUUAUACAACUUCCUGGGCGUAAGAAUUUCAGAAAAACAAGGUUAUAUUGAUAAGAAAUGGGUGGGAGAGGUAGAAAAGUCUUCUUUCCACAAACUCAGAUUUAGACAAAAUUUUAGGGGUUGUUUGGUUGAAAUAAUUGUUAAUUUGUGUUCUAAGGUAUUUGAUAUACUCUGAUUUGUCAAAAAACUGAUAAAAUGGAUAUUUGAAACGAAAAUACAUCAUUUUCACGUAUGGAUUUUGUCCCAGAUGAAAGUCAUUGCUGUGGCCUGUAUCCUGUUAUAGCGGCCUACAUUAUCCCGCUAUAUCAGGAUGUGGACCGAUGUAGCGAGAUGGCCCUAACAAGUGGCCUGCUUCCUAUCUUCAAAUAUUUUCCUCUUUUCGUUUAAGCUUCCCCACCUGGUCUAUAUUGUUUCAACUUGUCUUUAUUCUCCACAAGUUAUCCUAAAAUUGGUGGUCAAAAUGAUGACAAUGCUCCCUUCAUCUGGUUUUCCAAUGCAGCUAGUCGAGAGAGGCACAAUGCCCAUCGCACUACUGGUUUUUCUGUGAGAGGGCGAUGGUACUUCAUAAAAUAUAAGAGAAAUAUCCUGCCUUCUAUGCCCGGUUGGUAGAGUUUGGGUGGCUUCAACCGACUGAGGCUCCCACAGAUGCCCGCACCGCCUUUGUGAGGGAGUUCUAUUGUAUCGUCCCCACAGUACGCUCAUAUGUUCCUUAUCCAUUUAUUCACAAUUGGAGAGUUGAAAUUCCCUUUAAUGUCACUACUAUCAAUGAGGUGUUGGAGGUGCCAAAAUUCCAAAACCUAGAGUUUGAGGACAAGCUUAAGGGGAUGUACCUGCAGUGGCUGCGAGAUACUAUUUGGGAUCCCACAAGAUUUGAUCAAUUUUACUGGGCUACCGCAGAGGGUAUCACUAGUAUGAACUAGUCGUAAAAUCCUAAGAAGUCUCUACACUUGGUAUCCAGGAGGAUACACCCGUCGAGCAAUCGCACCGACGUUACCUUCCCCCGGGCUUUGGUGGUGGCAUGUGCUAUUGAGAUUAAUGUGGUGGCAAAGAUUAUAUCCGAGUGGAAGAUGUUCUAUGGGGUAAACAAGAAGGAACUCUUUCUUCCAAGUCUUGUGACUGUGGUAUGCAAGUGGACCGAGGUGACCUUAUUCGAUGCGGAUGAGGUAUUACCUUUAAAUAUCCCUAUUCAGCCUUUUUUGGUUUGGGCAAUUUCUAUUUCUACCGGAAAAGAAGAAGGACUAGCAAGGCGAUUGCAGUUUUUUAUGAUGAAGAUCACUCUUAUGGGAUGAGUCGAGAUAUAUUUAGAGGCGGUAAGGAAGAAGAUGGUAAACACCUAUGCUGACUUCACUCCCGUCCACCCAGCACAUCUCUAUAGGUAGAGUUUCUCCAUCGCCACUUGCGCCACGAGAGGAAGAAGAAUUGAGUAGGGAUCAUCUCACUAUUCGACUAUGGAAAGCAGUCAAGGUCCUGUUUACAUACGUUGCUCCUGAACAAGAAUUGCCCAUAGUGGAGGAUGAGGACUAUGUACAGUUCCGGGAGGUGAGGGAGGGAGGCUGUGGUUAGUAUGGUGCCUCCGGAGGAGUUAUGUUCCGACUCCGACACCUCCUUGUUCGAGGAGUUCUAAUUUUUCCUUCAUUUUGCUCCUCUUGGGCUUGUAUUUAGGGCAAUUAGUUUAUAAUCUCUCUUUCGAUAUUACUAUGUUUUUGUAGAACAUGAAUGCUCGUUUCUUUUAUUACUAGUCAUUUUAAGUUACUUAUUGUUGUUGAAUACUGAUAUGGAGUUGCAGGGGUUGGUUAGGAUCCAUAACUGGUUAACAUUUGAAAACAGGAAAGAACGGGAAAUUUUCCUGUUGAGGUUCACCAUCUCGUGAUUAUGUUGUACCGGUACCGUGCGAGCAGGACAAAUCUCGAUUCAACGUCCGAAGCGGGACAAGAACCUGCGAAGGAAUUUCUGGGUACUGUUUCCACCUUCCACGAUUUUUCCAGGUCUCUAUUUUCACUAUCCCACCAAGCUCCCGACUUUCCCGACUAGAGUAACACGAUGUUUGACUCCUAACGUAGAAGACAACUCGACACCAUAACAACAUAUCCCUUGUAUGCACGCAGACAUUAAAACUUGCAUAAAUCUUGCGAUUUAACGGUAAUUCUACUCGUAUCGAUUUUUGAAACUCCACACGGUUUCCUUAAUUAGUUAUACUUAUUCCAACUAUGUUCUUCAGUUCGACAAUGAUUCAGGCAUUCAAAUACUCUUACAUUCAUUGAUACAUAAUUCAACACGAAGUACACAAUAGAAGAUAAAUACAAUAUCAAUCCCACAUUCCAAUUAUUUAUAGCAACAAGGGGCACACGCCACAGUUUCAAAACACAAGGAACAUGAUAUUUCAAUUAAAUACUUAGUUUUCUCCAUUGAUAACCCUUAAUUAUUAUUCAUGCUCUUUGUAGCCCCAGGUCUAGAUAUCAAUUGAAGCCUUUCAGUUCCAAUUAACUUAUUGGUGUCCUUCGGUGGUGUCAACAAUGUUAGUCUUCAUCGUCAAAUUGGAAUUGGGAGAUACCAAUUGGGAUUAACCCGUGCAAGAAAUGACACUUCGCACGAAACGAGUGAAUAAAUGAAAUGACUCCCUAGAACAUUUCCUAGCCUCUUGUAGAUUAGAUGUCCAUUUAAACACACCAAUCCACAAGAGUUUAGUUCACAUUUUACUCUUGUACAUGGAGACCGUUAACCUAGGCUAUGCUACCAAUUUUUCACAAUCCGACUCAUCAGGCCGUGCAAGCACCCACUCUGACACCUAAGUAGGAGAAUUCUCAUAUUCCAAAGGUUUAUUCAUGAGGAAAAUUAACAAAAUAGAUAUACUGUAGGGUAAAAUAUUAACUACAAACUUUUAUUGAUGCACUAAUUAAAACAUUUAGAGUAACUUGAAAACCCAAAGGAUCUAGUCUAAAAGGUACAAGAGCUAGUAAGAAUUACAAUAGGAUAAUAAUUUAUUAAAAGGACAUAACUCCCACCAUGUGGAAAUAAGAGUCUAAGAUGCUAAAGGAAUUCUUCGUCUUUACCUAAUAAAAUAUCAUAUAUCCUGCAUCCAAACUAUGUCAAAAAGACAGCAAGAAUAGUAUCAGUACAACCACACGUACUGGUAAGUAUCAUCGGUCAGCCUGACGUCCACCUCAUAAUAUUUGAACAUAACAAUAAUAGAUCAUGUCUUGACCCCUCAAUUCUCUACCCUUAACCUUUACUUAGAACACCUUCCAAUUACUAUUAUAUUCUUCCUACGAGGUUACAACCAAAAUAUGAACCACUUUGUAUCCUACAAGUACCGCUACAACCCUUGGGAUUCCAAUAGAUCAUAGCUUAUAUAUACUAGCCACAUUGUAUACUAUUAGUACCACUACAACACUUAAGGUUCCAACAGAUCAUAACUUAAACAUACUAAUAACAUUAUAUAACUCAAGCAAGAUUAUCACACUUAAGGUUCCAACAUAUCAUAGCUUAAAAAUACUAACCACAUUAUAUACCACAAAUCACACUACCAUACUUAAGAUUCAAAUGAAGAUAGCUUAACCCCCAACAACUAGAUACAUACACACACCUCACAAAAUUAAGCACAACAUAUUUCGCCGUACACAUUUUAUCAUAAGUAGUUGGCCCUCUCAUGGGAUCCAAAGUAAAACUGUUAGUAUGCAGAAUGUGACAAUCCGAUCGAAGUCUUACGUAGGACUGUGGCAACCGAUCCUAGUUACAGUAUCAAAACAUGGCAGCUGAUCAAAUUAGUAUAUCGGAAUGUAGCAAUCUGGUCCAAGUUAGAGUGCUGGAACAUGGAAGUUGAUCCCAAUCACACAUCACAAUAACAUUCCAAUAUCACACACUCAAGUCAUGAUUUCAUCAUAUCGAUACUUAUAUAUCUCUUUUCAAAAUCUAAGAACAUUAUUGCAAUAGGCAUACAAAUACAAGUAUCGCCACAAAGCAAAACGCGUAUAUAUCAAAGCAUCAUAAAAUCACAACUAUCACCUAAUAACAUACUUAAUUACAAAUGGGUUCCCUUAAUUUCUUCUUAUGGAAUUACACAAGUCAAAAUGCUAGUUUUCAUCAAGCUUUGUUUCUAGAUUUCUUUACCCUGACUACAACUCCUUAUCAACAUUAUACCAUAACUUAACAAGACACGUAUUUCAACCAAUUUACCAUCUCAAACUAACACUAACCACAUAAACAUUAAAUUAUAAUAACUUUCGACAUAAUUUACUAAGUGCACGAAGGUCUAACAUAUCUCAUAGUGUUAAAUUCAUUUAUUUCAUGGUAAGCAUGAAUUUUAUAACUACUCAGCAUAAACCUAGCCUACUUAGGCCAAGCAAUUUGUACGAGGUUUUGAUUUUGCUUCUAGCUUUUUCGGGUGCGCUAUGGUGAAUUUGUCCAAGAUCUCGUAAGAUUCCACCAUUCUUUUGCUAGAAAGCUCCCCCUUCUUGUUUCCCUAUGUUGAAAUAUUUUUUCUAGGGUUUCUAGGGUAAUUUAUGACAUAUUAGGGUAUUUUACAAGGAAAGAAAAAUAAGAAUUUCUUGUAAAUAAGGUUCUGUAUCGCUGAUCCCGCUGCAGCGGCAACUAACCCCCCCCCCCUACAACGCCAACGGCAUCCCACCGUAGGGGGACACAAUCCAGUUUUCUAUGGAGUUCUAUUCUUCUCAAAUAAUGAUUGUUCGGGUCAUUACAUGUUGUUAUAAUAAUAAUAAUGAUCAUGAUAAUGAUAAUAAUUAUGAUAAUAAUGAUAAUAAUAAUGAUAAUGAUAAAUAAUGGUAUGAUAAUAAUAAUCAUAAUAAUAAUGAUAAUGAUAAAUAAUGAUAUGAUGAUGAUGAUGAUAAUAAUAAUAAUAAUAAUAAUAAUAAUAAUAAUAAUAACAAUAAAAAUUAUGAUGAUAAUGAUAAUAAUGGUAAUACGAACAACAACAACAACAACAACAUCAACAACAAAAAUAAGAACAACAAUAAUAACAACAACAAUAGCAAUAAUAAUAAGAAUGAUAAUAUUAAUAAUAUUGAUGAUGAUAAUAUAACAGUAAUAAUGAUAAUAAUAGUAAUAUCUAAUAACAAAAUUUUAAUACCAAAUAAUCUAUGUGUAUAAGGUUUAGGUUUAUUAUACGAUUAAACUUGCCUAAUCAUAUUUUUAUUUUAUCAAAUAACUCAACUCUUGUACAAAUUCUUUUACUAUGAAAAAAAUAUUACUAUUUUUUGUAGCAUUUCACACGAAUAACUCAUGUUCUAUAUGGUCUCAUUUAUUUAUACUUAAUGGAGGUCUGAAUCUUAAUUAUUCAGAUUCAGCCUAUUAAGUACGUUUGAUUUUUAUGUCUGAAUCUGAAUCAUUAAGAUUCAGCCCAUUAAGUUUAUUUGUUUUACAUUAUAAAAAGCCUCUUAAUGGGUCUGAAUAGGUCUGAAUGAAUCAGAUUUGCAGAAAACACUUAACAAUAUUAAGACUCAUUUAAUAAGUUAUCAAAUAACAAAUCAUCGCUUCUCUAUGUCACGACCCAAAAAUGGACAUGAUGGCACUCGUCUUAUCCCACCAAGACAAGUAAGCCUAAAAGUUUUCAUAUGGCACUCGUCUUAUCCAACCAAGACAUGUAAGCCUAAAGAUUUAUUAGUUGUAUCAUAUGUUCAGAUAAUUAGAUUUGGUGUUGAAUAAGGUUUGAGAAACCAACUAGUUUGUUACUACGGAUGCUUGAGUUGAGAAGUGUAUUUAGAGGGUUCUAAAUGAGUAUCAAUAAUUUCAUCUUAAGGUCCAAGGGAAUGGAUAGAUACCAUAAUGGCAAGCUUAUGGGUAAUGAAGUCUCAGAGAGUAUACUUGUGUGGAGGAGAUUGAAACUCUUACUAAAAAGUGCAUAUGAUAUUGGGUUAGUCUAGUCAAUUUUAUUGGUAAAGUUGGUUUUGAGAUGUCAUGGCAAUGACAAAGAUUACUCUAUGGUGAUGGCAAGCGCUAAACGAGCAUAAUGGUAGUAAGAGUUUGUGAUGGAUUUAAAUUGGGAUGAGCUAUAUGACAAAGAUAGUUUGUUAAAUGGAUUUUUGUAUAGUAAUGACAACUUGCGAAUAUAUAAUGUUAUGGUUUCCUAUAGUUUGGUGAGUAGCCUGGUUUCAAGUAAAGUUAUAGGAGGUGCUGAAACACUGCUCGAAUAGAAUUUAAAGGAGCUAGAGUCAUAAUGAAAAAAUAAUAAUAAUAUAGAUAUUGGGUAAGAAUUGAGAAAGAAUCCUACACAGUUCGACUCGAGUGUGGUGAUAAGUUCUUUUAUAGUUUCGAAUUUGGUAACGGGUACCAUUAGAUUUUUAAGCAAAGGAUAUUAUAAGGUCGCUAGAGAGGCGAUAUAUGGUUAGCUAUGAUACAUAAAUUUAUAAAAAAUUUCAGAUGUAAGCUAAUAUUGAUAGACAAUGGAAUUGUAUUACACGGUUGGGAUCAAAACUUCAAGUUUACGUGGUGAGUUUAGAUUUUUGAUAGUGUAUCUUGUCAAGGAAUGAAUUGGUAAGGUAAGAAAUGGUUUAUCACAUUGAGUAUGAAGCAUAUAAAAGGACUUAAAAUUUGAGUAGUACAUUUGGUUACUUUUGAUUGUUAUACCUAAGGUUUCCCAUAUUGCUGGUCAAAAAUAUAAGACUAGUAAAUGAAUUAGCAAAAAGGAAAAAAAAUUAUGGUGUAUUGAAGAGUUAGAGUUAUUUGAAAUUUUCAUCAUGGAAAGAUUUUAAGAAAGGCAAAGGAACAAUAAGACCUCUCGUAUAAACACUGUAUUCGGAGUGAUGGUUGUAAUGAUUUCGUCUUUGAGUUUAGAUAUGACUAUGAGAUGUGACUAUGGGUUUAUUAUUAACUUUUCUAAAUAUUAAGUUUUGGUUGGGUUACAAUAAAUGACGUGUGGAAGAUUAUAUAUGGUUAUGUCGAGGUAGAUUGUUCAGAAUGUGAUAGGUAACAAAUGGAUGUUAAAUAGUGUGGACCUACAAUUUUACAUGGUUAAUGAGGAUCGAGGGGGGGGGGGAUUAAAAGUACUUUGCUGAUGAGACAAAAUAGAUUGUUAUAAUGUGUUACAUAGGCAUAUGAUGAUGAGUAGAGGUUAUGAGAUUAUAGUAUACAUAAAUAUUGGAAUGAUCAAGGAUUUCUUUGAGUUUUGGCAUGAGGUGCAUGAUGGUUGAAAAAUGACAUGUAAAAGUUUGUGCGACGUUGACAUUGGUGUGAUUAAGUUAUUGUACCUCGAUGGAAAAGUACUUAGAUUUGAAAUUAAUGCUAUCAAUCUUAGUUGUGACUCAUAUCUUGUCAUGGAAUGCUUAUAUAGAAGGAAAAAAAAGGGGCAUAUUAUGGAAUUUUUAAAGUAUACAACGUGUUUGCUAAAAAGACUUUGAUUCUAGUGACAGUUUGAGUGAGGUAAAUGGUUGGUGUAGUUAUGAUGUUUUUUUUGUAUUAUGAGUGUUAGCUUCAAUGGAGUAUUGAGAGAAGUACGUGGAGUUUGAUGAAUCGAGUAUUUGUUAUAAAGUGAUGGGGGAUCAAACUGGUUGAUUGUGGGUGGUGAAACAUCGAGAGAUGGAGAAAGAUGAAUGAAUUCUAUUAUAUGGGCCCUAUGGAAGGAAUAACUUAUUUUAUUCGACCUUGCUUCUGUGUAUUUUUAUGUAAUCACCUUCUUCGUGUUGAGCACUAUUAAAGUAUGAUUCCCUACUUAUAUUACGCGUGUUUUCACAUCUAUUGGUGAAUUCUUAGUGGUGGAUCAGAUGAAACGAUCCUCUUAUGUCCCUUGAGAUGAUGAGAUCCUUGGGCAGAAUUGAUCAUUUCAGCUAUGAUACGUUUGGUUUUGUUUGAAAGUUGGAGUAUAUAAGUAGUUUUACACGCACAACCGUACUUAUGAGAACUUAUAUAAGAGCUAUGAAGAGUUACUAAAAGUAUUGUUAGAUGUUCUACAUUUUGAAGUGUAUCACUUGUUGGGUGCUUACUUAAUUAUUUUUUCCUUUGAUGAGUAAUUGAUGUCUAAGAAAAAAAAAACAUAUUUUUAUAGUUAAAGCUUGUGGAAAAAUUAUGGUGGAGUAAGAUAAUCUUGAUAAGAUCUAUGAUAGUUGUGCAAUAUGAGUAUGUGGUGGUUAGUUCAGGUUCACAUCUGAUUGUAGUCAGUAUAGAUUCAGAACGUUAUCUUGGUAAUGUGAGGAAAGAUUCAUCCCAAUGAGUGUGUUGAGAUCUAGAGAAUUUUGGUUCGAUUGGAUUAUUGGGUUAGUUUAUAACUUGGUAAUAUUAUAUGCAAAAGUUUGAUUUGAAAGUUCAAUUUCUAGUAGUUGCCUUUGAUGAAAUGUUCUUAAGGAUGAGCUCACUUAGAGAGAUAAAUAAUAAUGAAAAUUAGAUCUCAAGCUUGGUAACAUCGGUUAUUCAUUUUUCUUUCACCUUAUGUUCGAGGACGAACAUGAUUUUUUGUGGAGGAUAAUGUAAUGACCCGGAAGGUCAUUUCAAAUAAAAAAAUUGAUUAUUCUUUUAACUUGAGUUAAUUAAUGAGUAAUUAUAGAUAAUUGACUUAAUUGAUAAUUAAUGGGCUAAAGUGAUAAUUUAUUUAACACCUUAUAAUAUUUAAUCCAUAUUUAUCAAAAAUAAGUUACUAGGGUUUGUCACAUAUAAUACAUAAUUAUUUUAAUCAGAAAAAAAAAGAGAAAAGAGAAGGGACGAAAACUUACCUGACCAGAGAACGACGAAGGAAAAGAGAACAAACUGCAUCAUCGUAAGAACAAUUCUUUUUCAUGUUCUCUUAGGCAUGCAUUAAUU